ACUAGUAGUACUGUAGGGUACAUGGUAGAGCAUUAGUAGAGCAUUAGUAGUAGGGUAAGGUAGGGUGCAUGGUAGGGCACUAGUAGUACUGUAGGGUACAUGGUAGAGCACUAGUAGUACUGUAGGGUACAUGGUAGAGCACUAGUAGUACUGUAGGGUACAUGGUAGGCCACUAGUAGUAGGGUAGGGUGCAUGGUAGGGCACUAGUAGUUCUGUAGGGUACAUGGUAGAGCACUAGUAGUACUGUAGGGUACAUGGUAGGGCACUAGUAGUACUGUAGGGUACAUGGUAGGGCACUAGUAGUACUGUAGGGUGCAUGGUAGGGCACUAGUAGUACUGUAGGGUACAUGGUAGGGCACUAGUAGUAGGGUAGCGUACAUGGUAGGGCACUAGUAGUAGGGUAGGGUACAUGGUAGGGCACUAGUAGUACUGUAGGGUACAUGGUAGGGCACUAGUAGUAGGGUAGGGUACAUGGUAGGGCACUAGUAGUACUGUAGGGUACAUGGUAGAGCAUUAGUAGAGCAUUAGUAGUAGGGUAAGGUAGGGUGCAUGGUGGAGCACUAGUAGUAGUGUAGGGUACAUGGUAGAGCAUUAGUAGAGCAUUAGUAGUAGGGUACGGUAGGGUGCAUGGUAGGGCACUAGUAGUACUGUAGGGUACAUGGUAGAGCACUAGUAGUACUGUAGGGUACAUGGUAGAGCACUAGUUGUACUGUAGGGUACAUGGUAGGCCACUAGUAGUAGGGUUGGGUGCAUGGUAGGGCACUAGUAGUACUGUAGGGUACAU
rnacentral:lncRNA from 1 species